GACUUCGCUCAGGAAGGUCGUGUGCGCGCUCGCCACUGAGAAAAAGUAAACGACAAAAACAAACAAAAAAAGCUUAAUCAAAAAGCUCGUUUCGUAUCGCACGCUCGUUCGGUUCGACGUUUCGCAACACGCGCGCAAAUCCCAAAUAAAAUAAACAACAACAACCAAGCGAAAAGCAGUAAACACACAAUUGGAUUAAUUCUGCAAAUAAUAAACAAACAACUUGGGCAAUUAAGGAAGUAAUUUGUGGCCAAAGUUGUUGCUGUUGUCGUCGUCGUCGUCGCAGUCGCAGUCGUUGCAAGAUCAUCAGCCAGCAGCCGUCAUGAAUGCAACCACAUGAAACGUCGGCUGUUGAAGCGUCAACAGCAAUUGCCAUAAUUGCCAUUGGAGCAGCAAAACAUACACCAAACACACACACACACACACAUAAGCUCACUCGCUCGCACACACCUUCACACACAUCCCAGAGCUGCAGGCAAGGAGUCCAAUAACCGCACCACCAGCUGAAACUCGCCACACGAGAUAUUCGCGGCAGGCACAAAAUCGAAAACCAAUUGCCAGCAGCAGCAGCAGCGGCUCCUUCAACCGAAUUGUAACAGCGUCAAGCGUGGAGCGUCGGGCGCCGGAAAAUCCCCAAAGCCUAACAAAAAAAUAAAUAAAAUAGAAAUAAAAACGCAGCAGCAAACCAGUGGAGUGGGGAUCAAUGAACGCGGCACGCAGCAGUUGCCAGCAACAACAACAACAGCAGAAGAAAAGCGAAACGGGCCAGCAAUUGG